rnacentral:rRNA from 1 species
AGUGAACGCUGGCGGUAGGCCUAACACAUGCAAGUCGAACGGCAGCACAGUAAGAGUUUGCUCUUACGGGUGGCGAGUGGCGGACGGGUGAGGAAUACAUCGGAAUCUACUUUUUCGUGGGGGAUCACGUAGGGAAACUUACGCUAAUACCGCAUACGACCUACGGGUGAAAGCAGGGGAUCUUCGGACCCUGCGCGAUUGAAUGAGCCGAUGUCGGAUUAGCUAGUUGGCGGGGUAAAGGCCCACCAAGGCGACGAUCCGUAGCUGGUCUGAGAGGAUGAUCAGCCACACUGGAACUGAGACACGGUCCAGACUCCUACGGGAGGCAGCAGUGGGGAAUAUUGGACAAUGGGCGCAAGCCUGAUCCAGCCAUACCGCGUGGGUGAAGAAGGCCUUCGGGUUGUAAAGCCCUUUUGUUGGGAAAGAAAAGCAGCAGGUUAAUACCCCGCUGUUCUGACGGUACCCAAAGAAUAAGCACCGGCUAACUUCGUG